rnacentral:lncRNA from 1 species
AAAUAAUUUUAAAAUGGACUCAGAAGGAAACCCGAGGGCAGUUAUAUUAGAAUCUGGGAGAAAACUAGGCAGGGACAAUGGGAAUCUUGACAAUUCCCCGGAGAUGAGGGAAAGAGAAAGUCACACUUUCCAGUGUUAGAGCCUGAGAAAGCUGGCAGGAGUGUAGCACGCAGCUUUGUGGGUGGUGGGGAUGGGAAGGUGGGGGAUGCAGGCAAAGUUGGGAUUCAGACCCGAGACAAGGGGCUGAGGCGCAUAGUUUACCUACUAAAGCAGACCUGGCCUCCAGAUUCUCCCAGCAUCCCUCAGUCCCCUACUUGGCAUACCCCGCCCUCUACCGUCAACUUUCCAGCCCAGGAGCCGGGCUUCUCCCCUAGAGGCUCUGCCCUAUACAAUCCAGACAUUCUGGGUUCUCUCUCCCCUUCUCUCCCUCUCUCUGCAUUUUCUCUCUCCCCAAGUGCGCGCACUGUUUGUCUUUCUCUCUCCACCCCUAUGGCUCCCUCCCUAUGGCGACUUCCCGGGCCUCGGUU